rnacentral:misc_RNA from 1 species
AAGGAGUUCGCAAGACUCCCUACAAACCCAUCGCUGAACGUUCACCUACAAGCACGUGCGUUCGGCGGUGUCUCGGCGGAGGCUCCCCCUGGGCCUGGAGGGGCGCGACCAGACCGCCGGCAGCUACUAUACUCUGUCUCUCUUGAGUUGGCAUCUCGAGAAAAGCAAACAAGUUA